GAGAAACGGCUACCACAUCUACGGAAGGCAGCAGGCGCGCAAAUUACCCAAUACCGGCUCGGUGAGGUAGUGACAAAAAAUAACAAUAUGGGCCCUAGUGGUUUCAUAAUUGCAAUGAGAAUAUUUUAAAUACUUUAUCAAGUAUCAAUUGGAGGGCAAGUCUGGUGCCAGCAGCCGCGGUAAUUCCAGCUCCAAAAGCGUAUAUUAAAGUUGUUGCAGUUAAAAAGCUCGUAGUUGAAAUUCGGGAACUUAAAUGAUUCGAAAUCUUUCGAUAGAGAUUCAUUUAGUCCUUAUGUGUCGUGUAUAUUUUUCAGGUACUUUACUGUAUUUGAUUAAUAACCGACUAGUUUACUUUGAAAAAAUUAGAGUGCUUAAAGCAGGCUUAUGCUUGUAUAUUGUUGCAUGGAAUAAUAAAAUAGGACUUCGGUUUUAUUUUGUUGGUUUUCGAAACUGAAGUAAUGAUUAAAAGAGACUGCCGGGGGCAUGUGUAUGCUGGUGUUAGAGGUGAAAUUCUUAGAUCAUCAGCANACAAACUACU
rnacentral:rRNA from 1 species